CCAGUGUACACCUUUUCCACUUGCUAAUUAGGCUGUGCAUUAGUGAUAAAGAAGCAUUUGAUUCACUGAGCUCUUCGGGACAGCACCAUCUGGAACCAUGAGGUCUUUUGGAAAUCCCUGUCUUCUUCUAAUUUUCCCCUUGUGUGUUGCUUCAGCGUCAACUGCUGUCAAGUCAGAACCUUUGGAUACUGAAAGUGAACCAAAGAAUGCAUCAACUAGUAAUCCUGUCACAUCACAAUCUGUGCAGACUACAGUUGAAUCAAAGAAUGGAACAUCAGAUUCAACAGACGAAUUGCCUACCUUGUCUACUACUAUAAUCAGUAGAACUACAUUAGUCCCGUCUACAACAGAAAUAUCAUCAACUAGUAAUCCUGUCACACAAUCUGAGCAGACUAUAAUUAAACCAAAGACUGAAUAUCCCACGUCUGGAGUAACCGAAGAAACCAGUGAGAAAAGGAAUAAACCAAAAGAUCAGAGAAUACUGUGGGUCAUAUUACCUGUACUGGUUAUAUUGAUAGCGAUUGUCAUCCUAGCAAUGAAAUCCAAAUUUAUGAAGGUCCACACAAACACAGAUGGAACCGAGAAUGAUACAGAGAAGACCGCCACUUACAAAGAUGGUGUGAUGCUUUUGGGUGUAAAGUCAUCUGGGGGUGAAGAUCCUACAAAAUGA
rnacentral:lncRNA from 1 species